GCCGGGCACAGUGGCUUGUGCCUGUAGUCCCAGCUACUCAGGAGGCUGAGGUGGGAGGAUCGCUUGAACCCAGGAGUUCUGGGCUGUAGUGCACUAUGCCAAACAGGUGUCUGCACUAAGCUCGGCAUCAAUAUGGUGAGCUCCUGGGAGCGGGGAACCACCAGGUUGCCUAAGGAGGGGUGAACCAGCCCAGGUCAGAAACAGAACAGGUCAAAACUCCCAUGCUGAUCAGUAGUGGGAUCUCACCUGUGAAUAGCCACUGCACUCCAGCCUGAGCAACACAGCGAGACCUCGUCUCUA
ensembl:misc_RNA Metazoa_SRP Metazoan signal recognition particle RNA